AUAGAAGGGCUGUAAAGGACUGCAGAAAGACUUUAAGAUGUCUGUAGAAAGAUUGUAGAUCAUCUGUACAAAGACUGCAGACUCCUAAUCUCUCUCUGUGACGUCAUUUCCAGGUGACCGUAAUCCAGUGCCUGAUCGUUGUUUGACUGUCUGCUCCUGUUUACUAUUGGCCUGAUUGCUGUUACCUAACUUAAGUGUUAUCUGGUUUGAUAUUCACAUUUAGGAUCUUUAGUUAACUAUUGAAUACACUACUGUGUUAACUCCUUGUUGUCCAUUUUAUUCUUAGUUUGCAAAGUAAACCGCUUCUCCUUAGCCUAACACCGCUAGCCUUAGCCCAGCAUUUAGCAUGGCUUCUACCUCCUCCGCCUUCACCCCUCUUUCCUGCCCCAUAUGUUUAGUGAGGAUCCUGCCUCCUUUAGUGAAGAUAGCGGUAGGUGUGUUAAGUGUAUGUGACAGACAGAGCUGUGGGUGGUGGUUUGUCCCUCAUGGUGUUCCAUAGUUUAACAUUCAUGGCCAGCACCUGUCUGUUGAGCUGUGAUUGGCUCACAAGGCUGAUAAAUAACAGCAGUGGGAGUUCCAUCUAGAUGCUGGUUUCCUGGUUUGGCCUUGGUGGGUGAGCUUGACAUGUGGACCGUUUUUACUAAAGCUUUUAAGCAUUUGAGUUUGCAACAUUUUAAAUUCUAUUUAUAUUAACAGGUGGUGGCAUGAGUUCUGACCCUGGGGCAUGAGAGUAUCUUGGUGUCUGGACCUGGCUGAAGGUGGCUGCCUCCUCCUUUUAUCCUUAUGGUAGCUGGUACUCCUGGUGAGAGUUGGAUCAGAGAUCUCCCUUGGUGGUGUUUGUGGCUACCCGCCAGUGCAGUGGGGCUGAGGCGAUCCAGGAGGCAGCCGCCCUCAUGCAGUGUUGGAGUGCGGUCCAACUGUCCGAGUCUAUUUUAACUUUCUCUUUUAUGGAAUUUGUGUCAAGUUUUUAAUAAAUUGUAUAUUCUUAACCUUUAUGAAA